rnacentral:rRNA from 1 species
GACGAACGCUGGCGGCGUGCUUAACACAUGCAAGUCGAACGGUAAGACCCUGCUUUUUUCUGUUUCUCUAGUGGCUAACGGGUGAGUAACACUUGAGUAACCUACCCUUUACUUUGGGAUGACUUCAGGUAACUGGGGCUACUACCGCCUAGUAGCUCCUGCUGCAUGGUGGGGGUUGGACAGUUUCGGCGGUUGGUGAUGUAUUCGCGGCUUAUCAGCUUGUUGGUGGGGUAGUGGCUUACCCAGGCUUUGACGGAUAGCCGUCCUGAGAGGGUGAACGGCGACAUGGGGACUAAGAGAGGGAGCAGACGCGAACGGUAGGCAGCAGGGGGGAAUAUUGAGCAAUGGGCGGAAGCCUAAUGCAGAAACGCCGGGGGCGGGAUGAAGGCCUUCGGGUGGGAAACGGAGUUAGCCUGUAACGAAGCGUGAGUGACGGUAAUGGGAAAAGAAGCACCGGCUAACUACGUG